UGCUACUUCAAGCAAGGAGGACAAUAUGAAGAGGCCAUUUUAGACCUUCAGGUGGCAGGCUGGAGGAAGGCGCAGCUGUAUGCUGAUUGGCAGAAAGAAUUGUUCCAGGCCUGGUCUGUCACUCUGGAUCCAGCCUCUGCCACUACCAAUCUUGCCGUUUCUCCUGAAAGGACCUCUGUGACCUGGAAGAACAAAAA